rnacentral:rRNA from 1 species
CCUACGGGUGGCAGCAGUGAGGAAUAUUGGUCACUGGGCGUAAGCCUGAACCAGCCAAGUCGCGUGAGGGAAGACGGCCCUACGGGUUGUAAACCUCUUUUGCCGGGGAGCAACGCGCGCCACGUGUGGCGCCACUGAGAGUACCCGGAGAAAACGCAUCGGCUAACUCCGUGCCAGCAGCCGCGGUAAUACGGAGGAUGCGAGCGUUAUCCGGAGUUAUUGGGUUUAAAGGGUGCGUAGGCGGAGCGUUAAGUCAGUGGUCAAAUUGAGGGGCUCAACCCCUUUCCGCCAUUGAAACUGGCGAUCUUGAGUGGAAGAGAAGUAUGCGGAAUGCGUGGUGUAGCGGUGAAAUGCAUAGAUAUCACGCAGAAGCCCGAUUGCGAAGGCAGCAUGCCGGCUUCCGACUGACGCUGAAGAACGAAAGCGUGGGGAUCGAACAGGAUUAGAUACCCUAGUAGUC